AUACGUAGGGGGCGAGCGUUGUCCGGAUUUAUUGGGCGUAAAGGGUGCGUAGGCGGCCUUGUAAGUCAGAUGUGAAAGAUCAUGGCUUAACUGUGGUAAGCAUUUGAAACUGCAGGGCUUGAGUACAGGAGAGGAGAGUGGAAUUCCUAGUGAAGCGGUGAAAUGCGUAGAUAUUAGGAGGAAUACCAGUGGCGGAGGCGACUCUCUGGACUGAUACUGACGCUGAGGCACGAAAGCGUGGGGAGCAAACAGGAUUAGAUACCCUGGUAGUCCACGCUAUAAACGAUGAGUGCUAGGUGUCGGGGGUCAAACCUCGGUGCCGCAGUUAACACAUUAAGCACUCCGCCUGGGGAGUACGGCCGCAAGACUGAAACUUAAAUGAAUUGGCGGGG
rnacentral:rRNA from 1 species